CAGCCGCCACGGGAAUACGGAGGGUGCAAGCGUUAAUCGGAAUUACUGGGUGUAAAGCGCACGCAGGCGGUCUGACAAGUCAGAUGUGAAAUCCCCGGGCUUAACCUGGGAACUGCAUUUGAAACUGUCAGGCUGGAGUCUUGUAGAGGGGGGUGGAAUUCCAGGUGUAGCGGUGAAAUGCGUAGAGAUCUGGAGGAAUACCGGUGGCGAAGGCGGCCCCCUGGACAAAGACUGACGCUCAGGUGCGAAAGCGUGGGGAGCAAACAGGAUUAGAGACCCGCGUAGUCCCUGUCUCUUAUAC
rnacentral:rRNA from 1 species